rnacentral:other from 1 species
UAUCUUCUGCGGUGCUCGUGUUCAGGAGUGUAGAUACUUGAGCCUAACUUACUACACAGGGAGCUAAACGCGUUGUUGUUGUGCAUGUCCCUAGCCGGAAAGCCUGAUUCAGCGCUUGUUGCCCCCACUUGGACCCACGGUUCAAGUACAAAGUCCUGUUACGGCACUGUGGUUGAUAC